UAAGCAUAUCAAUAAGCGGAGGAAAAGAAACUAACAAGGAUUCCCUUAGUAACUGCGAGUGAAGCGGGAAAAGCUCAAAUUUGAAAUCUGGCAGUCGUCUGGCUGUCCGAGUUGUAAUCUAGAGAAGUGCUACCCGCGUUGGACCGUGUAUAAGUCUCCUGGAAUGGAGCGUCGUAGAGGGUGAGAAUCCCGUCUUUGACACGGACUGCCAAGGCUUUUGUGGUGUGCUCUCAAAGAGUCGAGUUGUUUGGGAAUGCAGCUCAAAAUGGGUGGUAAAUGCCAUCUAAAGCUAAAUACAGGCGAGAGACCGAUAGCGAACAAGUACCGUGAGGGAAAGAUGAAAAGAACUUUGGAAAGAGAGUUAAACAGUACGUGAAAUUGCUGAAAGGGAAACGCUUGAAGUCAGUCACAUUGGCUAGGAAUCAACCUUGCUUUUGCUGGGUGUACUUUCUGGUUGAUGGGUCAGCAUCAAUUUUGACCGCUGGACAAAGUCAUUGGGAAUGUGGCAUCUUUGGAUGUGUUAUAGCCCUUUGAUGCAUACAGUGGUUGGGAUUGAGGAAUUCAGCACGCUGCAAAGCCGGGUUUCGACCACGUUCGUGCUUAGGAUGCUGGCAUAAUGGCUUUAAUCGACCCGUCUUGAAACACGGACCAAGGAGUCUAACAUGCCUGCGAGUGUUUGGGUGGAAAACCCGAGCGCAUAAUGAAAGUGAAAGUUGAGAUCCCUGUCGUGGGGAGCAUCGACGCCCGGACCAGACCUUUUGUGACGGAUCCGCGGUAGAGCAUGUAUGUUGGGACCCGAAAGAUGGUGAACUAUGCCUGAAUAGGGUGAAGCCAGAGGAAACUCUGGUGGAGGCUCGUAGCGAUUCUGACGUGCAAAUCGAUCGUCAAAUUUGGGUAUAGGGGCGAAAGACUAAUCGAACCAUCUAGUAGCUGGUUCCUGCCGAAGUUUCCCUCAGGAUAGCAGAAACUCAUAUCAGAUUUAUGUGGUAAAGCGAAUGAUUAGAGGCCUUGGGGUUGAAACAACCUUAACCUAUUCUCAAACUUUAAAUAUGUAAGAACGAGCCGUCUCUUGACUGGACCGCUCGGUGAUUGAGAGUUUCUAGUGGGCCAUUUUUGGU
rnacentral:rRNA from 1 species